rnacentral:piRNA from 1 species
UCCUCUCAGUGAUCUCCGAAUUAGCCCCUUG